UGCGCAACCAAAUCAAAGAGAGGACAGCAGCUUCUAUUUUCUAGUAGCUACAGGUAUCUUACCGCAGGUAGUGUAAAUGGUGCGGAACAACCCGUGUAACUGUGGAAGUUGUAUCGGGCCAAAGAAAGAAAAAAAGCCCUGUUGUUGGAGGCGAAGAAGACAAACAAUAAGUGAUACAAACCGCAGUGGAAACACGGGUGAACCUGGACGGGCACUCAGUGGGUGGAGAGAGAAAUUCAGGCCUGGAUUUAUCCUCUCGAGCCGACUUUAUGGAUUUUUAACGCUCCACUGGCACGUCGGGAUUUGUCCGGGUUGUCAAAUGGAAAGAGCUUCGGGACUUCAGAAGGUUCAGAACGACAGACAGCUGGCAUUAUUUCUACUAGAUCAGUUUUGUGGAUCUGCACACAACUACUCCAACCUAAUCUUAAUUGACAACAGACAUGAGUAUCAUCACGUUCAAGCCCAGGCUGUGGCAAAGUCUACAGGAUCUGAAUGCUUCCUCCACUGCUGGUCACUGUUGACUUCACAUAAAGACAGAUACUGCCAUCUUGUGGAUAACUUUAUAAAGAAACCAUGCAUAUUCAUCGGUGUAGACAUUUCUGUCUUCUUUCCACUGAAUAAAUUGAAUCAGUGAUACCCACCCCCUGAACAAAUGUCUGAGCAACUGUUACAGCCUUUCAUCGUUUUUCAGCCCUGAGCGAAAAGGUUAGGAGGCUGCUAUACGCUGAUGCUUAGCAGAACAUAAUGAAUCCUGAACGAUGCUUUGCCCUUUGAUCACAUCGCACCACUCAAUGAUGCAAUUAAGCCGGUAAUUAAUAAUAGAUUAAGCAUCUGCACUGAGUGGCAGGCAGUAUGAGACACAUGCCUCAAAUCGAUUUAGCAAAAUGGAAAAAGGAAAAAAAAAAGUGGGGGGGGAUAAAACUGUAAUUACUCACAUCAGUCAGAAACUAUGAUUGAACAAAGCCUCUGGGGCAUAAAACCACACACACACAUAAACACACACUAUUUUACAGCCAUUGGCCUGUCAAUGCCCUCGCCUGCCAGUUCCAGACAGGCAAUGCGUUCCAGAUUAGAUCAAACUCCAGGUUGCCCAUUUCGAUUCUAAAAGCAGCUGUACGGCACUUUGUUACCAUGACGACACUCACCGUCUGGUCUGCUGUCUGCAGGCAUAAAAAUAGACAGAGGUGGUGGUUCAGUUCAGGACUCACUGAGAUGAUAGUGGGCAGGAGGCAAUCAAAAAAAAGGAGGGCAUGAUUAGACGAUCGUCAUUAUUUGGCUCCAACCCCCUAAUCAAACCAUGAUGGCACAGCAACAAGUCUUGAACUUUUCUGACUUCAUCGUUUGUUUCCUGACGUGUGGCCACAA